rnacentral:lncRNA from 1 species
CCUUUGGAGCAACUGUGGCGCGGCAAUAUCCUUCUCCACACUAGUUCGCACUCGAACGGUUCUGCGAAGCGGCACACCAGGCGGUUGGGCCGCGUAGCGGCCAGGGGCGUAGCCCCCUAGUAACAGCUGAGCGCUUCUCCAAUACGAACGAUUUUGAGCUUUCAUUCAUGCAGUUCCAUGUCAUUCAUGGUUUGUUUCAUUCAUGCAGUUCUCCGAGGGUAAUUUUAUAUCGGUUUCAAUUCUAUUUUUGGCGCUCCUGCUAUUGUGAGUGGCGGUAGCCACAUCCGGGCUAGUCGCCUAUCCUCCAACAAUGGGCAACACAGCACAGCCCGUCUGAGAUAACUACACUUAUCAUUUAUUACGUAGAGGUCGUGCGAUCAAUGCUUGGAGCCGAGUUAGUGAGCUCUCGAGUAUCAGCACGGGUGACAUCUUUGGCCGGUCUUGCUCCUGUUUUAAUCACCUUCACAUCACAAUGCUCUUCUUAUACAUGCUUUUCAUAUCUCAGGUUUGAGUGCCGCCUGUUGGGGGGAGGAGAUGGCCCUGUUCGUGUUGAACGCGGACGCAGUUACAAGUCAACCAGGGCAUGGGUCCGCGCAGACCCGCUUCAAGCGACAGUCAACCAUCUCCUAUCAGGUCAACCAUUUCGCCGUGCAGGACCAGGAGCCUCAUGAGGCCCGAGGCGCAAACCCCACGGUCGCCCCUCGACCGGGGUACGGGGCCAGAGGGGCCCGACAACUCAGCCCCAAAUUCCCCACCACCCUCCUCCAAACACAACAGCGAGCACCCGCUGACUACCUGGAUUACGGUGCUCAACAAUAUUCAUCUGGUCCUGACGCGCUACAACAACAAUAUUUUGGGAGCCUAGCCCAAUUCGCAGCUGAACAGCAAGGCGGCGUGCCAGCCGAAGAACCAGCCCAGCCGCAGCCACCAACGACAACCCUCUCGCCGGAGACACAAGAGAUGAUCCGGGCACAGCAGGAGUACAAGGACCGGCACAUCAAGGAGCAAGAGCGACUGGCCCUCGGGGUGCGCCGCCCGGCGACGGGCCCCGCGCCCGGAGGCCAGGCCCCGGCGGGGCCCUUCGACGACGGGCCCAACCCGACGAUCCAGUUCGUCUCGGCCGGAGGGGCGCCCCUCGUCCAGCCGCAGCAGCAGUUCGCCCAAUACGACUACGCUCAGGACGCCACCGGGAGCGACGCCCAGUACUACCCGGCCCCCGCCCCCGCACCGGGCCCGGGCAGGCCGCUCUUCACCAGUGCUGAGAAUUCCGGCAAGUCGACUUUUACCAAGAGGUUAGUGCCGAAGAACUUCCAGCCGGGCAAGUCACUGCUCGACCCGACGCAGAGCUUCUCGUACACGCAGCUCCAGUUCGGCGACAACUCGCCCAACGAGAAAUACUACUCGAAACUGCACGACCUCAGGCAGAAACUAGUCCCACAAGCAGAGCAGCACGUAGCACAGCGCUCCGCUCCCAAACAGCGCCCGAAGUACGAACCAACCUACGUCUACGACACUGCCGCCUACCAGAUCGAAUCCUCCACACCCAACUCCCUCCCGCACUACGUUGCCUCCACCCCGAAGGCCCACUACGUCAGCCAGUACUACCACCCCACGGCGACGGCACGACCCAGCCUCGUCUACACCCAGUCCUCCGGGGACAGCGGGCUCGUUCACCCUAAGGCCGAAUCCUCGACCGCAAAACCCGUCUUGCGACCCCAAUACAUAGCCACCACCCCCGAUUACUACUACGAAUCCACCCCCGCCCCUCAAUACGAGACCCCUAAACACCAGAAAAAGCUCCAGAAACUGAUUGCGCCUGAUUUUGUGACAGCCGCUGGUGAGCAGCAACUACGGCAGCUGCAGCGGUUACAACAGCUCCAACAAGCCCAACAACAACAGAAUUACGAGGCGCAAGGGAUCGAAUUCGACCAGGACCUCCAGCUCUACUCGCAGCCGACCAAAGGCUUCUACGCCAAUAUCAAGAAAGCGGCUGUUCACACACCCAGCCCGAGUCCUGCUUACGCGACGGCAAGUCCCAGUUACGCCACCGCUCCCAGCAAGUCAGCCUACUUCGUUUCAACCGCCGCACCCCACACGGUCCGCGAGAGCAACCACGAGGACUACGGAAACAACGAGUUGAGCGAACUCUCCGUCCAAACUCCGGACGGUCGCAAGCCGCUCACCCCGGCCGAAAUCAAAGCCCUCGUCAGCGCCGGUUUCCACAUCCCCGAACUGAAACACCAAGACCCGAGCGUGGCGGUUCAACCGGUUCGCCGGCCGGUCUACAGCUACCAACCGGUUCAGGGGCACCCCACGCGCGCCCCGGUCACGGAAACCCCCGACUACGUCACGCGCGUGAGCCCCACCUACACGCCGACGUAUACACCGGUGUAUUCGACGGCCUCGCCCUACGACGACGCGGACUCAAACCAGAGGGCCACCGAACAGAGGUACCGCUCGACGGUGUCGCACCUGACCGGGAGGAAGAGGGUGACCGUGGCGGCGACGCCAGCGCCUCUAUCGGCCGAGGAGGAGAAACUCGGGCUGCCGCGAGAUGGAGUCCGGCAUUAUUAUAGGGUGGACGCCAGUGACAGCGGGACUGCGCCUCAAGCCUACGUCCUCGUUGGGGGGCAUGUUCGGGCUCCCGUUCAAGGUCCAGCGAGAGGGUUGGGUCAGUAUUCGAGCCUCCUAGUGUCCAGGAGUGCUGAUCAAGGCAAGAAAACGGAGAAAGCUCCCUGA